AGUCACUGACAUUAGAUACCCCUGUAGUCCCAGCCCUAAAUGAUGCGAGUUAAGUGUGGGGGCAUCUACGAGAUGGCCCUGUGCUGUAGGGUAGCCGUUAAACUCGCUGCCUGGGAGUACGGUCGCAAGGCUGAAACUUAAAGGAAUUGGCGGGGGAGCACCACAAGAGGUGGAGGCUGCGGUUCAAUUGGACUCAACGCCGGGAAGCUCGACCGGAUAAGACAGCGGAAUGAUUGCCGGGCUGAAGACCCUGCAUGACCAGCUG
rnacentral:rRNA from 1 species